rnacentral:rRNA from 1 species
CGAACUGUGCGAACGUUAUUCGGAAUCACUGGGCUUGCAGGGUGCGUAGGCGGCUUUUCAAGUCAGGUGUGAAAGCCCCCGGCUCAACCGGGGAAUUGCGCUUGAAACUGGAGAGCUCGAGUCAGCUAGAGGUGCACGGAACUUCCAGUGGAGCGGUGAAAUGUGUUGAUAUUGGAAGGAACACCAGAGGCGUAAGCGGUGCACUGGGGCUGGUCUGACGCUGAGGCACGAAAGCCAGGGGAGCGAACGGGAUUAGAUACCCCGGUAGUCCUGGCCGUAAACGAUGAGUGCUGGACGGGAGGAGGUUCGCCUUCUCCGGUCGGAGCGAAAGCGGGAAGCACUCCGCCUGGGGAGUAUGGUCGCAAGGCUG